rnacentral:rRNA from 1 species
AUGCCCAUGCGGCUGUGGUCGCUGGCGGGCGCGGAGGAGGUCCUCGGCGACCUCUGCAUCGUCGACCGCCUGGAUAGCCGCACCCACGAGCGUGGGCACACCAAGUCCUUCGCCUGCUGGGUCUGGACGACCGACGUCACGCGCAUCCCCACCAAGUGCGAGAUCUGGCGCGCGGCCCGUGGAGCGGGCCGGGUCGAGGCCAUGCUGGGGUUCUCGCCGCCGAGCCGCCAGGUGGCUCCCCCUCCCGGCAUUAGGUGCCGCGAGCUGCUGGUGCACAUCGACAAGAUCAAGGAUUGGACCCCCCCGCACGCCGCAGUCCUCCCACUCGCGCCAAAGCGGACUCCCCUCGUCGGAGUCGGGCGAUGA